rnacentral:rRNA from 1 species
UACAGAGGUCUCGAGCGUUAGGCGGAAUCACUGGGCUUAAAGCGUGUGUAGGUGGAUGCCUAAGUACCUUGUGAAAUCCCACGGCUUAACCGUGGAACUGCUUGGUAUACUGGGUGUCUUGAGUCACUCAGGGGCGAGCGGAACAAAUGGUGGAGCGGUGAAAUGCGUAGAUAUCAUUUGGAACGCCAAUGGUGAAAACAGGUAGCUGGGGCUGUGCUGACACUGAGACACGAAAGCCAGGGGAGCAAACGGG